UACGUAGGGCGCAAGCGUUGUCCGGAAUUAUUGGGCGUAAAGAGCUCGUAGGCGGCUUGUCGCGUCGGACGUGAAAGCUCAGGGCUUAACCCUGAGUCUGCGUUCGAUACGGGCAGGCUAGAGGCAGGUAGGGGAGAACGGAAUUCCCGGUGUAGCGGUGAAAUGCGCAGAUAUCGGGAGGAACACCGGUGGCGAAGGCGGUUCUCUGGCCUGUACUGACGCUGAGGAGCGAAAGCGUGGGGAGCGAACAGG
rnacentral:rRNA from 1 species